rnacentral:rRNA from 1 species
CGGUUGAGUAACACGUAGACAACCUGCCUCCAGGUGGGGGAUAACCGCGGGAAACUGCGGCUAAUACCGCAUGUGGUGGGGAGCGGCUUCGCUUUUUGACUAAAGGAGCAAUCCGCCUGGAGAUGGGUCUGCGGCCUAUCAGCUAGUUGGCGGGGUAACGGCCCACCAAGGCGACGACGGGUAGCUGGUCUGAGAGGAUGAUCAGCCAGACGGGGACUGAGACACGGCCCCG